GAUGAACGCUGGCGGCGUGCCUAAUACAUGCAAGUCGAACGAAACUUCUUUAUCACCGUGUGCUUGCAGUCUCCGAUAAGGGUGUGUAUGGCGAACGGAUGCUUCCCACGUGGGCAACCUGACCAAAAGAAGCGGAUGCCACUUCCACACAGGUGCUAAUGCUGCAUAACCAUAGUUACCACAUGGCAACUAUGUAAAAACUAGCUGUACUACCGCCUUUUGAUCUACCCGGUGGGCAUUAGCUAGAUGGGAGGGUAAAGGCAUACCAAGGGAAGGAUGAGUAGCCGAAUUGAGAGGUUGACGGGCAACAUGGGGACUGGGACACGGCCAAAACUCCUACGGGAGGCAGCAGAAGGGAAUUUUGCCAAAUGGGGGAAAGCCGGAUGGAGAAACGCCGCGUGGGGGAGGAAGGUUUUCGGAUCGUAAAAUCCGGUUGUUGGAGAAGAAAGUGCGUGAGAGUAAAUGUUCACGUUGCGACGGUAUCUAACCAGAAAGCCACGGCUAACUACGUG
rnacentral:rRNA from 1 species